rnacentral:rRNA from 1 species
GAUUAAGUUAUUAAGGGCGCACGGUGGAUGCCUUGGCACUAGAAGCCGAUGAAGGACGUUACUAACGACGAUAUGCUUUGGGGAGCUGUAAGUAAGCUUUGAUCCAGAGAUUUCCGAAUGGGGAAACCCAGCAUGAGUUAUGUCAUGUUAUCGAUAUGUGAAUACAUAGCAUAUCAGAAGGCACACCCGGAGAACUGAAACAUCUUAGUACCCGGAGGAAGAGAAAGAAAAUUCGAUUCCCUUAGUAGCGGCGAGCGAAACGGGAAGAGCCCAAACCAACAAGCUUGCUUGUUGGGGUUGUAGGACACUCUAUACGGAGUUACAAAGGACGACAUUAGACGAAUCAUCUGGAAAGAUGAAUCAAAGAAGGUAAUAAUCCUGUAGUCGAAAAUGUUGUCUCUCUUGAGUGGAUCCUGAGUACGACGGAGCACGUGAAAUUCCGUCGGAAUCUGGGAGGACCAUCUCCUAAGGCUAAAUACUCUCUAGUGACCGAUAGUGAACCAGUACCGUGAGGGAAAGGUGAAAAGCACCCCGGAAGGGGAGUGAAAUAGAACCUGAAACCGUGUGCUUACAAGUAGUCAGAGCCCGUUAAUGGGUGAUGGCGUGCCUUUUGUAGAAUGAACCGGCGAGUUACGAUUUGAUGCAAGGUUAAGCAGUAAAUGUGGAGCCGUAGCGAAAGCGAGUCUGAAUAGGGCGUUUAGUAUUUGGUCGUAGACCCGAAACCAGGUGAUCUACCCUUGGUCAGGUUGAAGUUCAGGUAACACUGAAUGGAGGACCGAACCGACUUACGUUGAAAAGUGAGCGGAUGAACUGAGGGUAGCGGAGAAAUUCCAAUCGAACCUGGAGAUAGCUGGUUCUCUCCGAAAUAGCUUUAGGGCUAGCCUCAAGUGAUGAUUAUUGGAGGUAGAGCACUGUUUGGACGAGGGGCCCCUCUCGGGUUACCGAAUUCAGACAAACUCCGAAUGCCAAUUAAUUUAACUUGGGAGUCAGAACAUGGGUGAUAAGGUCCGUGUUCGAAAGGGAAACAGCCCAGACCACCAGCUAAGGUCCCAAAAUAUAUGUUAAGUGGAAAAGGAUGUGGCGUUGCCCAGACAACUAGGAUGUUGGCUUAGAAGCAGCCAUCAUUUAAAGAGUGCGUAAUAGCUCACUAGUCGAGUGACAUUGCGCCGAAAAUGUACCGGGGCUAAACAUAUUACCGAAGCUGUGGAUUGUCCUUUGGACAAUGGUAGGAGAGCGUUCUAAGGGCGUUGAAGCAUGAUCGUAAGAACAUGUGGAGCGCUUAGAAGUGAGAAUGCCGGUGUGAGUAGCGAAAGACGGGUGAGAAUCCCGUCCACCGAUUGACUAAGGUUUCCAGAGGAAGGCUCGUCCGCUCUGGGUUAGUCGGGUCCUAAGCUGAGGCCGACAGGCGUAGGCGAUGGAUAACAGGUUGAUAUUCCUGUACCACCUAUAAUCGUUUUAAUCGAUGGGGGGACGCAGUAGGAUAGGCGAAGCGUGCGAUUGGAUUGCACGUCUAAGCAGUAAGGCUGAGUAUUAGGCAAAUCCGGUACUCGUUAAGGCUGAGCUGUGAUGGGGAGAAGACAUUGUGUCUUCGAGUCGUUGAUUUCACACUGCCGAGAAAAGCCUCUAGAUAGAAAAUAGGUGCCCGUACCGCAAACCGACACAGGUAGUCAAGAUGAGAAUUCUAAGGUGAGCGAGCGAACUCUCGUUAAGGAACUCGGCAAAAUGACCCCGUAACUUCGGGAGAAGGGGUGCUCUUUAGGGUUAACGCCCAGAAGAGCCGCAGUGAAUAGGCCCAAGCGACUGUUUAUCAAAAACACAGGUCUCUGCUAAACCGUAAGGUGAUGUAUAGGGGCUGACGCCUGCCCGGUGCUGGAAGGUUAAGAGGAGUGGUUAGCUUCUGCGAAGCUACGAAUCGAAGCCCCAGUAAACGGCGGCCGUAACUAUAACGGUCCUAAGGUAGCGAAAUUCCUUGUCGGGUAAGUUCCGACCCGCACGAAAGGCGUAACGAUUUGGGCACUGUCUCAACGAGAGACUCGGUGAAAUCAUAGUACCUGUGAAGAUGCAGGUUACCCGCGACAGGACGGAAAGACCCCGUGGAGCUUUACUGUAGCCUGAUAUUGAAAUUCGGCACAGCUUGUACAGGAUAGGUAGGAGCCUUUGAAACGUGAGCGCUAGCUUACGUGGAGGCGCUGGUGGGAUACUACCCUAGCUGUGUUGGCUUUCUAACCCGCACCACUUAUCGUGGUGGGAGACAGUGUCAGGCGGGCAGUUUGACUGGGGCGGUCGCCUCCUAAAAGGUAACGGAGGCGCUCAAAGGUUCCCUCAGAAUGGUUGGAAAUCAUUCAUAGAGUGUAAAGGCAUAAGGGAGCUUGACUGCGAGACCUACAAGUCGAGCAGGGUCGAAAGACGGACUUAGUGAUCCGGUGGUUCCGCAUGGAAGGGCCAUCGCUCAACGGAUAAAAGCUACCCCGGGGAUAACAGGCUUAUCUCCCCCAAGAGUUCACAUCGACGGGGAGGUUUGGCACCUCGAUGUCGGCUCAUCGCAUCCUGGGGCUGUAGUCGGUCCCAAGGGUUGGGCUGUUCGCCCAUUAAAGCGGUACGCGAGCUGGGUUCAGAACGUCGUGAGACAGUUCGGUCCCUAUCCGUCGUGGGCGUAGGAAAUUUGAGAGGAGCUGUCCUUAGUACGAGAGGACCGGGAUGGACAUACCUCUGGUGUACCAGUUGUCGUGCCAACGGCAUAGCUGGGUAGCUAUGUGUGGACGGGAUAAGUGCUGAAAGCAUCUAAGCAUGAAGCCCCCCUCAAGAUGAGAUUUCCC